AUAACUAAUUUUGGCGGCAUUUUGCAUCAUAGCGCUCAUGUAAGAAAGCAAAAAACUUUAAAAAUCUUAUGUUUUGUCAUAUGUGUUGAAGAUUACCACAAACUGACACAAACGCAGUUUUUAUACAGUCCCCCCUCGGCAUCUGACGUCCGUUUGGAACAAGCCGUUAACAACUUGUAACAACCUUGUUGAUACUAUCAUUUAUACAAGGUUGUUCCAACAAGUCCGAUACAGUCAUG